UACGUAGGGUGCGAGCGUUGUCCGGAAUUAUUGGGCGUAAAGAGCUCGUAGGCGGUGUGUCACGUCGAUCGUGAAAACUUGGGGCUUAACCCUGAGCUUGCGGUCGAUACGGGCAUCACUGGAGUUCGGCAGGGGAGACUGGAAUUCCUGGUGUAGCGGUGAAAUGCGCAGAUAUCAGGAGGAACACCGGUGGCGAAGGCGGGUCUCUGGGCCGAUACUGACGCUGAGACGCGAAAGCGUGGGGAGCAAACAGG
rnacentral:rRNA from 1 species